UGUUCUCAAAGACUAGCUACUUUCUGAG
rnacentral:misc_RNA from 1 species